UACGUAGGGGGCGAGCGUUGUCCGGAUUCAUUGGGCGUAAAGAGCUCGUAGGCGGCUUGGUAAGUCGGGUGUGGAACCCCUGGGCUCAACCCGGGGACGCCACCCGAUACUGCUGUGACUCGAGUUCGGUAGGGGAGCGGGGAAUUCCUGGUGUAGCGGUGAAAUGCGCAGAUAUCAGGAGGAACACCGGUGGCGAAGGCGCCGCUCUGGGCCGAUACUGACGCUGAGGAGCGAAAGCGUGGGGAGCAAACAGG
rnacentral:rRNA from 1 species